ensembl:lncRNA
CAACAAAGCAAUAAGCUGGUAUUCUAUCAAUUAUACAUUUAACACCUUUACAUGGAGUGAAAAUACUUUUCCAUGAUGUCAACCUCUUAUAAAAGGAUGUAAAAGGAUCUUUCUAAAGGGGGCCGUUGGAGAUCGUGACACAAAUAUGGCUUGUGUUUUUCCGAGGCCAGCCAAAGACUCCCUGGAGUUAAUUUACCCCGGCGUAGCAGCCAACCCCUGCUGUGGUGACUCACCUUCGCCACCACAGAGAUGAGGUUCAGAGAGAGACUUGGCAAAAAGAAAAAGUACUCUCCUUGAGAGAUUAACCCGUUGGGCAAAGAAAGGCAUGGGGGAGGCAGACUGAGAGCUCGGCACAGUAGGAACGCAGCUAGCAGGCUCAUUAGAGGGAACCGUCCACCGCCUGCGAGCAUCUCCACCCACGCCGAGAGAACUUUGCAAAGGUGGACCAUACAUUGUUGUCUCCUGUGGCACGGCGCUACAGAUCCUUUCAGACAGCAGAACCGCGAGCUCCUCUGUUAUCCCUGAGGCAAGAGUGAAAUAACUCUGGAAUAUCCACUGCGAGAGGAAGAAUGACCCAUUUUGCCGAUUUGAAAACAACUGGGGUUUUCUGAGCUGCAGCGUUGCCAUGGACCCUUGUGUUGCACGCUUCGCACGGCUAAAAAUCCAGCAGGACUUUCUCCUCCAGACGCGUCGCAGCAGCAUGAAGCUGUCGAGCUUCUGCUGCCUCUGCCGCUGACAGAUUACAGUCAUUAUUUGCACAACUGCAGGAAAGGCGCUUGUCAGGGAAACAUGUUGGUGAAACAAUCCGGCCUACAGUGUUCUGAAAGGUCCAUUACUGCAUUCACUUAAAUCCGUCCCACUACCUUGUUAUCGCACUUCAUUUUACUUCACACCCUGAAGCACUUAAGGCCUCGCUUCUUCUGUUUCUCCCCCCCGGCUAUGAAGGUCAUAUUGUCAAAGCAACAAUGACAAAGAAGGAAUUACAUCGGUGGGAAAAUUACCGAUGCUGAAUCUCACUUUGCAACUCAGCAUGCGUUGAUUCGCAUUAACUGAUUACACGUCCCCCCCGUUUGCAUCGAUUUGUCCACGAGUGCAGAUUGUGAGAGAGUGCGAGCUAUGGACACUAUGGACAGAAUGGGAGGGAGGCGCUGGUGAUGACUAGCGCCCCCACCUGCUCGCGAGGACUGAGGCCACAGCGCCGCUCGUCUCGCGCCGGGGCUCUCUGGUGAGACUCGUCUCGCUCUGCCUCCUCGGCUCUGCUGCAAAAGACGAGGGACACAUUUGCACAGAUUAGCCCGCGCGCUAAUCCUCCUGCCGUCCAGACUGGCGGGCGGCUGACCUUCCCGGGUCACGUGGCCGCCAUCUGGAUCGCCGGGAGUGAAGCGCCAACGCUGCCGGGCAAAGUGCGAGAGGCGAGAGGCUCCACGGGGCAGGUGAGCGCUACUCGGGGCGCCUCUUGUUUGGACGACUUUGUGAGUGAAUUAUGAUGACCUCGGCGGUGGAGAUGUCCGCCACACCGGCAGAGCCAGUUAAAUCCUCCUCUCUUCAUUCCACUGACAUGAGGAAUCAGUGCGGACGUCUUCGGAGACUUGAUAGCAGCGGAGUGUCGCUGGUGAUUGUCCAAACAUCGUCCGAGACGUGGGAAAAGGUCUCGCCGGUGAUGGGAUUCACGUCACCCUCUGAAGAGACUACAGAGGCUGUGAGAAAAAGAAAAGUAAGACGUGUGCUGUGUUUAUUAUUAGCAUUUGCCUCGCGCGGGUUCCACAGACCUGUUGCUGACUCGCAGCCCGGGGGAAGCGUUUUCUGUGAUUUUACACUCCGCAAGCCAAGAUAAAACAACACAUCCAUCUAAGGCCCGGGAGUCCUUUCUUCCCUCAAAGGACACCAAACCCACGAGGGAACGCCUCGAUAAUUACCACGUAUAAAUUGUGCUGGCGAGAGAACAAAAAAAAACAACAACAUAUGAAAGAGCCCGGUGUGUGUUUUAGGCCAAGCAUCAGUAAAUCACGUGGGACUCAAUGAGGAUUAAUGGGUGAUUAAUGGCGG